AUGCAUCCAGCAGGAACUGAUGUAUGCACUUUGAUUGUUUUCGUGGUUAAUUGCAGCUGGCAUUCCUUGCAGGAACUAAUAGUUGGAUGCCAGCAACAAACUGCGCCACCAUUACUCCCUCCAGCCAUCUGCGCCGGUGCCGCUUCUCCUCAAAUACAAGCAAAGAAGCGCGCGCCGGUUCAUCGGAGACAGAGAAGGGAUGUUCCGGUGCAGUACAUGAAGUGUCUGUUCCGCACGGUGCAGUUCCUGAACGGAAAGGAGACACUGAACGGAAGGACAUACACUGACAAUUGUUAUGUGAAGAAGAGACUGGUGAGGUUGUUGAUGUCUGUGUGGUUCCCCAUGAAACUGGUUAUGUUGGAUUUGCUAUGGCUGAAGCUUCUCGCAAGUAAUCUGCACCAAGCUUACUAUGUUGAAUUUCGGCAAUGUGUGAUGCCAUUUGCAACCUUCUUGUUGAGCAACCUGAAACAGGAGUAA
rnacentral:rRNA from 1 species